AAGGAUUUAAGUUAAUUAAACUCUUAACCUUCAAAGUUAAAAAUAGGAAAAAUAUUCUAAGCCUUA
rnacentral:tRNA from 1 species